GACGAACGCUGGCGGCGUGCCUAAUACAUGCAAGUCGAACGAGAGCGACCGGUGCUUGCACUGGUCAAUCUAGUGGCGCACGGGUGAGUAACACGUGGGUAACCUGCCCAUCAGAGGGGGAUAACAUUCGGAAACGGAUGCUAAAACCGCAUAGGUCUUCGAACCGCAUGGUUUGAAGAGGAAAAGAGGCGCACGCUUCUGCUGAUGGAUGUACCCGCGGUGCAUUAGCUAGUUGGUGAGGUAACGGCUCACCAAGGCCGUCAUGGAUAGCCGACCUGGGAGGGUGAUCGGCAAAAUUGGGACUGAGACACGGCCAAAACUCCUAGGGGAGGCAGCAGUAGGAAAUCUUCCGCAAGGGACGAAAGCCGGACGGAGCAACGCGGCGUGGGUGAAGAAGGUUUUCGGUUGGUAAAACUCUGUUGUUAGAGAAAAAUAAGUGCUAGAGUAACUGUGAGGGCCUGAAGGUUAUCAAACAAGAAGGCCACGGCAAACUCCGG
rnacentral:rRNA from 1 species